rnacentral:lncRNA from 1 species
CUGGGAACUCGAGUCUGCCCUGCUUCACAGCUCUUGUUCCUGCACAAGUGUCUCCGGAGAGGCUGGGGUACAUCAGAACCUCCAGAGGAGGGGACUUGGGAGCUUGAUGUUUAAAAAAGCAACACAGGCAUGUGCAAUGGAGAACUGAAUUGGAAGCUUCUGCCUGUGGCUUUUUUUUUUUUUUUUUUUUUUUUGAGAUGGAGUCUUGUUCUGUCGCCUAGGCUGGAGUGCAGUGGUGGAAUCUUGGCUCACUGCAACCUCUGCCUCCCAGGAUCAAGCAAUUCUCCUUCCUUAGCCUCCUGCGUAGCUGGGAUUACAGGCAUGUGCCACCACACUCAGCUAAUUUUUUUGUAUUUUUAGUAGAGACGGGGUUUUACCAUGUUGGCCAGGCUGGUCUCAAACUCCUGAACUUAUGUGAUUUGCCUGCCUUGGCCACCCAAAGUGCUGGGAUUACAGGCAUGAGCCACCGCGCCUGGCCUGCCUGUGGCUUUAUUGAAGGCCUUAGUGGGG